UUGGAGGGCAAGUCUGGUGCCAGCAGCCGCGGUAAUUCCAGCUCCAAUAGCGUAUAUUAAAGUUGUUGUGGUUAAAAAGCUCGUAGUUGAACCUUGGGCCUGGCUGGCCGGUCCGCCUCACCGCGUGUACUGGUCCGGCCGGGCCUUUCCCUCUGUGGAACCCCAUGCCCUUCACUGGGUGUGGCGGGGGAACAGGACUUUUACUGUGAAAAAAUUAGAGUGCUCCAGGCAGGCCUAUGCUCGAAUACAUUAGCAUGGAAUAAUAGAAUAGGA
rnacentral:rRNA from 1 species